rnacentral:tRNA from 7 species
UGGGAUUGUAGUUCAACUGGUCAGAGCACCGCCCUGUCAAGGCGGAAGCUGCGGGUUCGAGCCCCGUCAGUCCCGACC